GUAAAAUUAGGGUUUGUAGCAUUCCCUUAUGAAUAAGAGGAAUAAUUAGACAAAGUGACACCUUAGUGAGUUUUAGACACUGUGUAAUAUAAAUAAUAAGAAUUGACUUGUUUGGUAAAAGUAUUACUUAACUUAAAGGCAGUUCUGGCACUGGAAGGGUUAAUUCACCCAAUGAAGGAGAAAUUAGAAGUCCGUUUCAACAAGCUGAG